rnacentral:rRNA from 1 species
CCUACGGGAGACAGCAGUCGAGAAUCAUUCACAAUGGGGGAAACCCUGAUGGUGCGACGCCGCGUGGGGGAAUGAAGGUCUUCGGAUUGUAAACCCCUGUCAUGUGGGAGCAAAUUAACAAGAUAGUACCACAAGAGGAAGAGACGGCUAACUCUGUGCCAGCAGCCGCGGUAAUACAGAGGUCUCAAGCGUUGUUCGGAAUCACUGGGCGUAAAGGGUGCGUAGGCUGUUUCGUAAGUCGUGUGUGAAAGGCGCGGGCUCAACCCGCGGACGGCACAUGAUACUGCGAGACUAGAGUAAUGGAGGGGGAACCGGAAUUCUCGGUGUAGCAGUGAAAUGCGUAGAUAUCGAGAGGAACACUCGUGGCGAAGGCGGGUUCCUGGACAUUAACUGACGCUGAGGCACGAAGGCCAGGGGAGCGAAAGGGAUUAGAUACCCGAGUAGUC